rnacentral:tRNA from 1 species
AGGAUAAUAAUUAAUAUUAUAAUAUUUAAUUUGCAAUUAAAAAUAGUUGAAUAAACUUAUCUUA